rnacentral:lncRNA from 1 species
GAUGUAGCUGACCUAUCAUGGAGGAGCAGGAUGAUGAUGUAGCUGACCUAUCAUGGAGGAGCAGGAUGAUGAUGUAGCUGACCUAUCAUGGAGGAGAAGGAUGAUGAUGUAGCUGACCUAUCAUGGAGGAGCAGGAUGAUGAUGUAACUGACCUAUCAUGGAGGAGCAGGGGUGAUGAUGUAGCUGACCUAUCAUGGAGGAGCAGGAUUGAUGAUGUAGCUGACCUAUCAUGGAGGAGCAGGAUGAUGAUGUAGCUGACCUAUCAUGGAGGAGCAGGGUGAUGAUGUAGCUGACCUAUCAUGGAGGAGCAGGAUGAUGAUGUAGCUGACCUAUCAUGGAGGAGCAGGUGUGAUGAUGUAGCUGACCUAUCAUGGAGGAGCAGGAUGAUGAUGUAGCUGACCUAUCAUGGAGGAGCAGGAUGAUGAUGUAGCUGACCUAUCAUGGAGGAGCAGGAUGAUGAUGUAGCUGACCUAUCAUGGAGGAGCAGGAUGAUGAUGUAGCUGACCUAUCAUGGAGAAGCAGGGGUGAUGAUGUAGCUGACCUAUCAUGGAGGAGCAGGGUGAUGAUGUAGCUGACCUAUCAUGGAGGAGCAGGAUGAUGAUGUAGCUGACCUAUCA